UUCGUUAACGAACGAGACCUUAACCUGCUAAAUAGUUAGGCCAACGUUUGUUGGUCGUCAACUUCUUAGAGGGACUAUUGACUAUUAGUCAAUGGAAGUUUGAGGCAAUAACAGGUCUGUGAUGCCCUUAGGUGUUCUGGGCCGCACGCGCGCUACACUGACAGAGCCAACGAGUACAUCACCUUGGCCGGAAGGUCUGGGUAAUCUUGUUAAACUCUGUCGUGCUGGGGAUAGAGCAUUGCAAUUAUUGCUCUUCAACGAGGAAUUCCUAGUAAGCGCAAGUCAUCAGCUUGCGCUGAUUACGUCCCUGCCCUUUGUACACACCGCCCGUCGCUAGUACCGAUUGAAUGGGUC
rnacentral:rRNA from 1 species